GAUGAACGCUAGCGGCAGGCUUAACACAUGCAAGUCGAGGGGUAUAGUUCUUCGGAGCUAGAGACCGGCGCACGGGUGCGUAACGCGUAUGCAAUCUACCUUUUGCAGAGGGAUAGCCCAGAGAAAUUUGGAUUAAUACCUCAUGGUAUGUGAGAAUGGCAUCAUUUUCACAUUAAAGUCACAACGGCAAAAGAUGAGCAUGCGUCCCAUUAGCUAGUUGGUAAGGUAACGGCUUACCAAGGCAACGAUGGGUAGGGGUCCUGAGAGGGAGGUCACCCACACUGGAACUGAGACACGGACCAGACUCCUACGGGAGGCAGCAGUGAGGAAUAUUGGACAAUGGGCGCAAGCCUGAUCCAGCCAUGCCGCGUGCAGGAUGACGGUCCUAUGGAUUGUAAACUGCUUUUGUACAGGAAGAAACACUGGUUCGUGAACCAGCUUGACGGUACUGUAAGAAUAAGGAUCGGCUAACUCCGUGCCAGCAGCCGCGGUAACAC
rnacentral:rRNA from 1 species